GGCUUAUAGGUCGGUAAAUGAGCGAGUUGUUUUCCCAUGUGAUUCGCUGGAGGCGCGGACAUUGGCCCCGCCCAGCGUCGCUUCGCCGAGUGAUGAACCAUGGAGGGAAGGUGUGAAUCUGCACUGCACCGGCGGUCGGCUGGCAGGCGGGGCUCGGGACUCCUACUGCAAGCUCCGGUCGGGGAAAGCGAAGAAGCGAUCCUCCGUGAAUCUCUAGCCAGGCUCACCAGCGUCACUAAAGCCAUAACGGCCAACAUCCGAAAUAUAAACGAGAGCCUCGACCGGAUCCUGCUCGAUAAAGCGGACGUGCGGGAGCUGGAAACGAUAUUGAUGCAAAUAUCUGGAAAAAAAGAGGAAGAAUGAAACAAUUGCAGAGGGAGGAAAGCAGCAGAGAAAUCUUAUAUGUGCUGAGUCCUGCUGCAUUUGUUUUUGGUUUUCAAGUUUGGUAUUUUACUUAAUGUAUUUUUUUUUUUCCCCCCUUUUUCUAUCUUAUACUGAGGAAAGAAACAUAAGCAAGAACUCUCUCUCUGAAUCACAAGUAUGUAUGUUUAACUUGAAAAUGAACCUGUACAAUUUACUUUAAAACUAUUUGCUAAUGUUUCAUAUUUCACAUCUGUCACAAUAUUUUGAUUUUGUCUCCAAAUGUCUCCGCGACCCCGUAUGGGACAAGCGGUUCUGAAAAUGUGUGUUUUUGUGUAAAUAGACCAGGUUGUUUAACUACCAAUGUGAGACUUUUUCCCCCAAAUUUUGUGCCUUUUUUUUUUCCUUUUCUUGAAUGUUAUUUGAAAAGUAUCCAUUUUCAUUUAGUGAGAAUUUAAAAGUAAAUGUCUUCAACCUCAAAAUCAGUUCAGGCAUUUUUUUUUUA
rnacentral:lncRNA from 1 species